UACGUAGGGGGCUAGCGUUGUCCGGAAUCAUUGGGCGUAAAGAGCGUGUAGGCGGCCCGGUAAGUCCGCUGUGAAAGUCAAAGGCUCAACCUUUGAAUGUCAGCGGAUACUGCCGGGCUAGAGUCCGGAAGAGGCGAGUGGAAUUCCUGGUGUAGCGGUGGAAUGCGCAGAUAUCAGGAGGAACACCGAUGGCGAAGGCAGAUCUCUGGGCCGUAACUGACGCUGAGGAGCGAAAGCGUGGGGAGCGAACAGG
rnacentral:rRNA from 1 species